GGGUUGGUGGUCUGAUGGCUAUCACUUCUGCUUCAAAAGCAGAAGGUCAUGGGUUCAAUCCCAGGCCCAUCCCU
rnacentral:tRNA from 1 species